UACCUCUCCCUCCCCCCACAAAGAGAUUGAGGUCAGCUUACAUGACUUAUAAGAUAUGCAACUGUCCUAAUUUCUCUGCUCUCCUGGGGUACUUUCUGGAAGCUGGCCUGGAACCCUAUGCUGUUUACUCACUUGCUCUAGCUCAGUAGCUGCCAAACUUCCUUGUGCAUAUGACAGAGAAAGUCCAUUCAGGAUGCCCCCUGCUCAGGCUCUUGUCUUCCACCAGGAUGUACUUGAACAGCAUCUCCAGCCUGUCCUCUGUUUCUCCAUGAUAAACCUCAUGCACUGCGAUCUCUGUGCCCUUAAGCUGUCAAUGAAGCCUCAUACCUUCCUGUAUAGUGGAUUAUGCAGAACUGGCAGAACUCUCAAGCCACUACUGAUCUGACUGAAGGAGAUGCUGAAGAGGCUCUGGACAACAGGGUUACCUAUUUCUAUAGAUGAGCUACAAAUGCAUAAAUAAAAGACCCAGAGUAAUCUGUUCAUCCAUGCAUGUAUAUCCUGGGUGCUAUACUGUACAGUCAUCAUUUUUAUAAAGAACAAUGACAGGUUUAACCUUUAAAUGACCACUUAUUUGUAAAAA